CACCCGCAUGAAAACUAGUAUGGAAAAAAUCCAUACACCUUUUCAUGCAAUGUUGUGGUGAAAAGUUGUAGAUGGUUGCAUGAAUUUCCUGUCUGAAAAUUUCGGUUCGCUUGUCGAGGAUUUCAAUCGUCAGUUUCGUCCCGGCGCUCGACUCGGCAUGAAGUGCGAGCAAAUAAGUUAGAAUUUUUUGAUAGGCACAAAAAAGAGUUCAAGAAUCACUCGCCGUAUACUGUUUCGGAUCGGAUGAGAACUAAUAACGACAGGACAAAAAAUGCAUCGGAAGUGGGACCAAGCGAUCAGGGCGAGCACCACAAAAAUCCUGCUGCAGCUGCAAAGAAAAACCUGCCAAAGAAGGCUAAAAGCCUUCAGCGCUUUAAAAUUCCGCACCGCAUCAACCCUCCCGGGCAGCAAGACUUGAUGACCCGGUGAAAAGGACAACGACCAGAUGCACGUUGCUGGCCUCUCGAAGGUGCCUUCUUCAGCAAGUGUUAAAUUUGGUUGCCAAAUGAUUGAUUUUUAAGUGUUUUGAGUGAUUAUUUUAGUGUGGGUACGUUGUAUCGAAGUUCUAAAUGUGUU